rnacentral:rRNA from 1 species
CGUUCCCGGGCCUUGUACACACCGCCCGUCACACCACGAAAGUCGGCAAUACCCGAAGCCGGUGGGCUAACCCUUUUGGGAGGCAGCCGUCGAAGGUAGGGUCGAUGAUUGGGGUG